AUGAAGAACUCUGGCUCACAAGUCCGCCUUGCUUUACAUCUUCCCUGGGAAGCCGGCCUGGCAGAUGGGAAUCCAUUCCUGAAAGUAGUCGUUUUCUCAUGUCUCUUGACUUUUGGACUUGGGAAGUUGGAGCAACCGGAAAUAUCAAUUUCCAGAACAACAGAUGAGAGUGUCCAAAUAUCCUGUAAGGCUUCCAUCAACAGCUUUAAAAGUGUAGCCAUACACUGGUACCGGCAGAAACCAAAUCAAGGUUUAGAGUUUCUAUUAUAUGUCAUCGCAACUCCUACUCAUAUUCUCUUAAAUGACAAGCACAAGAAAAUGGAGGCAAGUAAAAAUUCUAGUGCUUCCACAUCAACAUUGACAAUAUAUUCCUUGGAGGAAGAUGAUGAAGCUAUCUACUACUGUUCCUAUGGCUAUAGCUCAGGCUGGAGCAAGAUAUUUGCAGAAGGAACUAAGCUCAUAGUAAUCCCUUCUGACAAAAACCUUGAUGCAGACAUUUCCCCCAAGCCUACCAUUUUCCUUCCUUCUGUUGCUGAAACAAAUCUCCAUAAAGCUGGGACAUACCUUUGUCUCCUUGAAAAAUUCUUCCCUGACAUUAUAAGGGUAUACUGGAAAGAAAAGGAUGGUGAUAAGAUCCUGGAGUCCCAGGAAGGGAAUACACUGAAGACGAACGACACGUACAUGAAAUUUAGCUGGCUGACUGUGACUGAAAAGUCAAUGUAUAAAGAGCACAGAUGUAUUGUCAAACAUGAGAACAACAAAAAAGGAGUUGACCAAGAGAUUUCCUUUCCUCCAAUAAAGAAAGUUGCCGUAAGUACUGAGCCUACAACUUGCUCGCAUCAAAAUGAUGUGCCUGCGCUGCAGCUUCAGUUUACGAGCACUUCUGCGUACUACACCUACCUCCUCCUGCUCCUCAAGAGUGUGAUCUACUUGGCCAUGGUCAGCUUCUUUCUGUUUAGAAGAGCAGCCCUCUGUGGUAAUAAGAAGAAGUCCUAA